rnacentral:rRNA from 1 species
UUUGCCUUUAGGNAAAUGUGAGAUGCAGUGUAUGGAAUGUCAAAUUUCUAGUAUGAGAAAUUAACGAUUUAAGUCCUUCUUAAAUGAGGCCAUUUACCCAAAGAGGGUGCCAGGCCCGUAUAACGUUAAUGAUUACUAGAUGACAUUUCCAAAGAGUCGUGUUGCUUGAUAGUGCAGCACUAAGUGGGUGGUAAACUCCAUCUAAAACUAAAUAUAACCAUGAGACCGAUAGUAAACAAGUACCGUGAGGGAAAGUUGAAAAGAACUCUGAAUAGAGAGUUAAAUAGUACGUGAAACUGCUUAGAGGUUAAGCCCGAUGAACCUGAAUAUCCAUUAUAGAAAAUUCAUCAUUAUGAUUUUAAUAUUUAUAAUAUUAUAAAUAAUGGUGUGCAUUUUUUCUAUAAAAGGACAUUGUAAUCUAUUAACAUAAAUUAUAUUUAUCAUAAGAUCAAUUUCGCGUAAGUUUAUUCAAAUUAUUUUGUUUUCAAUUUAAUAUCGAAUAAAUGCAUUUGAUUUGAUAAAGUGUUGAUAGAUUUAUUAUAUAUAGUGCUUAAAUAUUUAUAUUUUAUAAUAGCAUAUUGAUCAUUGAUUUUUAUGUUUAUUAUAUGCACUUAUAUGAUUAACAAUGCGAAAGAUUCAGGAGACCUUCGGGACCCGUCUUGAAACACGGACCAAGGAGUCUAACAUAUAUGCAAGUUAUUGGGUGUUAAAACCUAAUAGCGAAAUUAACAUAACUAAAAUUAUAAUGGGAUUAGUUUUUAGUUCUAUUUUAUUAUAGUCUAUUAAUUCAAUCCCGGGGCGCUCUAUCAGUUAUGUAUAAUAAUAUUUAUAUUAUUUAUACCGCUAACUAGAGCGUACCUUGAGCAUAUAUGCUGUGACCCGAAAGAUGGUGAACUAUACUUGAUCAGGUUGAAGUCAGGGGAAACCCUGAUGGAAGACCGAAACAGUUCUGACGUGCAAAUCGAUUGUCAGAAUUGAGUAUAGGGGCGAAAGACCAAUCGAACCAUCUAGUAGCUGGUUCCCUCCGAAGUUUCCCUCAGGAUAGCUGGUGCAUUUAAAAAUUAUGUAAAAUAAUCUUAUCUGGUAAAGCGAAUGAUUAGAGGCCUUAGGGUCGAAACGACCUUAACCUAUUCUCAAACUUUAAAUGGGUAAGAACCUCACCUUUCUUGGUAUGAAGGUAGUGGUUGUGAUAUAAUGUGCCCAGUGGGCCACUUUUGGUAAGCAGAACUGGCGCUGUGGGAUGAACCAAACGUAAUGUUACGGUGCCCAAAUUAACAACUCAUGCAGAUACCAUGAAAGGCG